rnacentral:rRNA from 1 species
AUGAACAAUCUCCAGCACCUACUGCGGCAGCGCCGCCUCGCCGCCCGCCGUGGACACGCCGCACACUCAUUGCCGCAUCACACUCUUUGCCACCGGGUGCGCCACCACAACCACCCGCCCUCAGCUGAUGCGCACAGCCGGACCAACUGGGUCAUCAUGAGCUCCGUGGCAUGCCUGGAGCUCGGUCAAAAAUCACCUAAGAAAAAUAUGUCGUUCUUUUCUACAAGGGUUGCAUGUGGAAUUUGA